AUUGAACGCUGGCGGCAGGCCUAACACAUGCAAGUCGAACGGAGUGGCGAACGGGUGAGUAAUGUAUCGGAACGUGCCCAGUAGCGGGGGAUAACUACGCGAAAGCGUAGCUAAUACCGCAUACUCUUGGAGCGGCCGAUAUCGGAUUCGCUAUUUGGUGGGGUAACGGCUCACCAAGGCGACGGUCCGUAGCUGGUUUGAGAGGACGACCAGCCACACUGGGACGGAGACACGGCCCAGACUCCUACGGUAGGCCGCAGUGGGGAAUUUUGGACAAUGGGGGAAACCCUGAUCCAGCCAUCCCGCGUGUGCGAUGAAGGCCUUCGGGUUGUAAAGCACUUUUGGCAGGAAAGCGGUACCUGCAGAAUAAGCACCGGCUAACUCCGUGCCAGCAGCCGCGGUAAUUC
rnacentral:rRNA from 1 species